UAGCCUUGACAUAUUAUAGAAUUCAGUAGAGAUACAGAAGUGCCUUCGGGAGCUAUAUUACAGGUGCUGCACGGCUGUCGUCAGCUCGUGUCGUGAGAUGUUGGGUUAAGUCCCGCAACGAGCGCAACCCUCGUCACUAGUUACUAACGGUUAGGCCGAGGACUCUAGUGAGACUGCCUUCGUAAGGAGGAGGAAGGUGAGGACGACGUCAAGUCAUCAUGGCCCUUACGGCUAGGGCAACACACGUGCUACAAUGGUUAGGACAAUGAGAAGCAAUAUCGCGAGGUGGAGCAAAUCUAUAAACCUAAUCUCAGUUCGGAUUGUAGUCUGCAACUCGACUACAUGAAGCUGGAAUCACUAGUAAUCGUAGAUCAGCUAUGCUACGGUGAAUACGUUAAACGGGUCU
rnacentral:rRNA from 1 species